GUGCCAGCCGCCGCGGUAAUACCGGCAGCCCAAGUGAUGGCCACUCUUAUUAGGCCUAAAGCGUCCGUAGCCGGCCUCGCAAGUCCGUCGGGAAAUCCAGUAGCUCAACUACUGGGCGUCCGGCGGAAACUACAAGGCUUGGGACCGGAAGGCUCGAGGGGUACGUCCAGGGUAGGAGUGAAAUCCUGUAAUCCUGGACGGACCGCCGAUGGCGAAAGCACGUCGGGAAGACGGAUCCGAUGGUGAGGGACGAAAGCCAGGGUCUCCAACCGGAUUAGAAACCCUAGUAGUCC
rnacentral:rRNA from 1 species